rnacentral:tRNA from 1 species
GACCUCGUAGCUCAUUUGGAUAGAGCGUUGGCUGAACUAAAACCCUCCCCCUGGCUGGAGUGGGUUCGAAUCCCACCGAGGCCA